UACAGAGGUCCCGAGCGUUGUUCGGAUUCACUGGGCGUAAAGGGUGCGUAGGUGGCGAGGUAAGUCGGAUGUGAAAGCUCGGAGCUCAACUCCGAAAUGACAUUGGAAACUACCUUGCUCGAGGGUUGGAGGGGGGACUGGAAUACUUGGUGUAGCAGUGAAAUGCGUAGAUAUCAGGAGGAACACCAGUUGCGAAGGCAGCUCGCUGGGACGUUACUGACGCUGAGACGCGAAAGCGUGGGGAGCAAACAGG
rnacentral:rRNA from 1 species